rnacentral:rRNA from 1 species
UACAGAGGUGGCAAGCGUUGUUCGGAUUUAUUGGGCGUAAAGGGUCCGUAGGCGGUUUGAAAAGUCAGAUGUGAAAUCCCGCAGCUUAACUGCGGAACUGCAUUUGAAACUUUCAGACUAGAGUAUGAGAGGGGUAAUGGGAAUUCCCGGUGUAAGGGUGAAAUCUGCAGAGAUCGGGAGGAACACCAGUCGCGAAGGCGCAUUACUGGCUCAUUACUGACGCUCAGGGACGAAAGCUAGGGGAGCAAACGGG